rnacentral:misc_RNA from 1 species
GAUGAAGAACGCAGCGAAAUGCGAUACUUGGUGUGAAUUGCAGAAUCCCGUGAACCAUCGAGUCUUUGAACGCAAGUUGCGCCCGAAGCCAUUAGGCCGAGGGCACGCCUGCCUGGGCGUCACACGUCGUUGCCCCCCCCAUCUACUCCUUCGGGAUUGCGGGGGGGCGGAUGAUGGCCUCCCGUGCGCCUAGCCGCGCGGUUGGCAUAAAUACCAAGUCCUCGGCGACGCACGCCACGACAAUCGGUGGUUGCGAAACCUCGGUUGCCCGUCGUGUGCGUUCGUCGCGCAUCGAGGGCUCGAAAAAAUGCUCGGCUCCGGCUGGGCUUUCAACGCGACCCCAGGUCAGGCGGGGUUACCCGCUGAAUUUAAGCAUAUCAAUAAGCGGAGGA